AGCGUAGGCGGAUAUUUAAGUGGGAUGUGAAAUACCUGGGCUUAACUCGGGUGCUGCAUUCCAAACUGGAUGUCUAGAGUGUUGGAGAGGAAAGUGGAAUUCCUAGUGUAGCGGUGAAAUGCGUAGAGAUUAGGAAGAACACCAGUGGCGAAGGCGACUUUCUGGACAAUAACUGACGCUGAGGCUCGAAAGCGUGGGGAGCAAACAGGAUUAGAUACCCUGGUAGUCCACGCCGUAAACGAUGGGUACUAGGUGUAGGGGGGUAUCGACUCCCUCUGUGCCGCCGUUAACACAAUAAGUACCCCGCCUGGGGAGUACGGUCGCAAGAUUAAA
rnacentral:rRNA from 1 species